UGGGGAAUAUUGCACAAUGGGGGAAACCCUGAUGCAGCGACGCCGCGUGAGCGAUGAAGGCUUUCGAGUCGUAAAGCUCUGUCCUAUGGGAAGAUAAUGACGGUACCAUAGAAGAAAGCCCCGGCUAAUUACGUGCCAGCAGCCGCGGUAAUACGUAGGUCCCGAGCGUUGUCCGGAUUUAUUGGGCGUAAAGCGAGCGCAGGCGGUUAGAAAAGUCUGAAGUGAAAGGCAGUGGCUCAACCAUUGUAGGCGUUGGAAACUGUUUAACUUGAGAGAAGAAGGGGAGAGUGGAGUUCCAUGUGUGGCGGUGAGAUGCGUGGAUAUAUGGGGGAACACCGGUGGCGAAAGCGGCUCUCUGGUCUGUAACUGACGCUGAGGCUCGAAAGCGUGGGGAGCGAACAGG
rnacentral:rRNA from 1 species